rnacentral:lncRNA from 1 species
AUCCCGUUCCCACACAGCUCUAGUUGCAGCAACUUUAAGAAAAUGUUAUGAUUGACUUGGUACUCUCUCUCCCUGCAGUACUCUGGAAACAUACUCUGUUUAUGCGUAGGCUAGCAAAAUGCACCCACAGUUUACAGGGGACCUUUCAUCUUAUUCCCUUGGAAAAAAUACAGAAAUUAUAUAUAUAUAUACACACACACACAUAUAUAUAUACACACGCAUAUAAUUUUACUACUCCAGCUUUUUCAACUGUUUAUGUAAUGUAAGAGCUGAGAUUGUGCAACUGUUGUGUCCAACACAUUGAACUUCUCCAUACUAACUAAUAUUUAUUGCAUGGGAUGAAGGAGAACACGCCAAAACACCAAGUUUGACAUGUAAACAUUUUGCUUAGCAAUAAUUUAUUCAUUUAGCUUAAAAGGGCUGAGGCCACAAUGUGAUACUAAUGAUAUUCUAUAAACAAGCUGUAUGAAACAUUGACCUACUAUAAACAAAAUUCAGUUGAUUUAUCAUAGCAGAAUUGAAAAUCAAAUGUCUUAAUACUGAACACCCAUGUACAUCUGGUCUCCAACCCAUCAUUUGUUGCUUUUACGUAUUCUUGCAUUCCAGGUAAAGAAAUUAACAGAAUUCCAUCUGGCAACUUUUCUAUGUACUAAUACUUUUUAAAUAAGCAGAUGUCAUCUUUGACUGUGAUCCUUACCACUACCCCUUUUCGCUUCUGGAAGAAAGAACAUGCAAGAUAUGGCAAAUGAAAACUGCAAGAUACUGCCAGGCAUGAUGGUGUGUUGAACUAUAAACUAUGUAGCACACAUGAAUUUCCACCCUGCACUGCCACAGAAAAUUAUCCUAGAGCAUUUUGGAGAAUACUACUUACAGAGCAGCACCCCUUUCCAAUGUGCUGCCUCUUCAUACACUGACCUCCCCCCCCCCCCCCCCCCAAAAAAAAAAAAACAAAAAACAAAACAAAACAAAAAAAACAUCUGUGUCCUACCAGUAACUUCUAACUCACAUCCCUUCAAUGUCUUCGAACAGGAAGGAGAAAGUGGGAGAAACUCACUGUCACCAACAUCAGCAAGUCAGCCUGGGAGCCAUUCAGACAUUUCUCUGAUGGAGUCCAGUGUGAAAAGAGGAAGAGCAAUCUUUGAGAAGAUGUCAUCAGAAAAUGGGCAGAACAGCAAUGCUGAAGUUGCAGUGGGUGGUCGCAAGCCUGUAAGAGGACUACCAGAAGAGAGCCCUCCCAAGACUGGCAACAUGCUGCUGGACUUCCAGGAGAAUGUCUCCUUGAAGGAAAAAAUGGCUCUGUAUCAGGCUGCUGUGUCCAAGGCAGAGAGCAGCAACUGCUUUGCCAAUGUAAGAUACCAAAGUCUCAUUACCUUCUUAAUUCUAUGUUUGCUUUGUGCAGGGACAGAUUGCCACCAUCUUUAUUUCUACAAGCAAGCUAUCAGAUGGAUCACAGGGUAGAUCAAAAUUUAAAUCUGAAAUUAGGAAACCUACAUAGCAAACAUAGUCAUCCAUCAGUCUCUGUCUCCACCAAAUAAGAUUUUUCAUGCUACAUGCCUUUGGUCUUUUGGACCUUUUGGGUCUUUUUGGACCCUUUAAUUCAUGGAAGUACUCUUCUUUGUAGUCCAUUUUUACCUG